UGGGGAAUAUUGGACAAUGGGGGCAACCCUGAUCCAGCAAUGCCGCGUGUGUGAAGAAGGUCUUCGGAUUGUAAAGCACUUUCGACGGGGACGAUGAUGACGGUACCCGUAGAAGAAGCCCCGGCUAACUUCGUGCCAGCAGCCGCGGUAAUACGAAGGGGGCUAGCGUUGCUCGGAAUGACUGAGCGUAAAGGGCGUGUAGGCGGUUUACACAGUCAGAUGUGAAAUCCCCGGGCUUAACCUGGGAGCUGCAUUUGAUACGUGUAGACUAGAGUGUGAGAGAGGGUUGUGGAAUUCCCAGUGUAGAGGUGAAAUUCGUAGAUAUUGGGAAGAACACCGGUGGCGAAGGCGGCAACCUGGCUCAUGACUGACGCUGAGGCGCGAAAGCGUGGGGAGCAACAGGAUUAGAU
rnacentral:rRNA from 1 species